rnacentral:rRNA from 1 species
CCCGUUCCCAUCCCGAACACGGAAGUUAAGCACCCUCACGCCGAUGGUACUGCCAACAGGUGGGAGAGUAGGUAGCUGCCGGGC